ACGGGUGAGUAACGCGUGGGAAUCUACCCAGCUCUACGGAAUAACUCAGGGAAACUUGUGCUAAUACCGUAUACGUCCGAUAGGAGAAAGAUUUAUCGGAGUUGGAUGAGCCCGCGUUGGAUUAGCUAGUUGGUGGGGUAAAGGCCUACCAAGGCGACGAUCCAUAGCUGGUCUGAGAGGAUGAUCAGCCACACUGGGACUGAGACACGGCCCAGACUCCUACGGGAGGCAGCAGUGGGGAAUAUUGGACAAUGGGCGCAAGCCUGAUCCAGCCAUGCCGCGUGAGUGAUGACGGUCUUAGGAUUGUAAAGCUCUUUCACCGGUGAAGAUAAUGACGGUAACCGGAGAAGAAGCCCCGGCUAACUUCGUGCCAGUAGCCGCGGUAAUACGAAGGGGGCUAGCGUUGUUCGGAUUUACUGGGCGUAAAGCGCACGUAGGCGGACUUUUAAGUCAGGGGUGAAAUCCCGGGGCUCAACCCCGGAACUGCCUUUGAUACUGGAAGUCUUGAGUAUGGAAGAGGUGAGUGGAAUUCCGAGUGUAGAGGUGAAAUUCGUAGA
rnacentral:rRNA from 2 species